GAGAAAAUCGUAAUUCCAGUUCCACAAAUCUUAUAGCAUCGUGGCGCUUCACUGACUCUGUCACUCUCCCCAAAACAGUUUACCCGUUGCCUUUCUUCCAACAAGCGAUCUCUCGGCCAUUAAAAUUUCUGAGAAUGGAUGGGAGUGAUUCUGGAGAUAAGAAACUAGACAAUGCGGAUAUGGCUGCUUUUGUCCAGAAUCUACUUGAACAGAUGCAAUCAAGGUUCCAAACAAUGUCCGACUCCAUCAUUACCAAGAAUAUCCUUUUUCUUACACUUCAACCUGUUAUUCAAA